GAACGCACCUUGCGCUCCUUGGUAUUCCGAGGAGCAUGCCUGUUUGAGUGUCAUUAAAUUCUCAACUCUACCAGUUUUUGCUGUGUAGAGCUUGGAUAUGGAGGUUGUGCAGAAUGCUCACGCGUACUGCUCCUCUUAAAUGGAUUAGCGAGUUCACUGGACUCCGUCUAUUGGUGUGAUAAUUAUCUACGCCGUGGAUUGGGUUUAGACUCGCUUCUAACCGUCCGCAAGGACAAUCUUUGACAAUUUGACCUCAAAUCAGGUAGGACUACCCGCUGAACUUA
rnacentral:misc_RNA from 1 species